rnacentral:rRNA from 1 species
AUUGAACGCUGGCGGCAGGCCUAACACAUGCAAGUCGAGUGGAGCGGCGGUCGGGCGCGUACUGCCUAGGACUCUGCCUGGCAGUGGGGGAUAACUUCCGGACAUGCGCGCUAAUACCGCAUACUAUUAGAUGCGCCUAGGUCGGAUUGGCUAGUUGGUGGGGUAAAGGCCUACCAAGGCGACGAGCCGUCACUGGUCUGAGAGGAUGAUCAGGCACACUGGGACUGAGAGACGGUCCAGACUCCUACAGGAGGCAGCAGUGGGGAAUAGUGGAAAAUGGGCGAAAGCCUGAUGCAGCCAGGCCGCGUGUGUGAAGAAGGUCUUCGGAUUGUAAAGCACUUUAAGUUGGGAGGCGUUAACUGCAGAAUAAGCACCGGCUAACUUCGUGCCAGCAGCCGCGGUAAUAC